GACAGAGGGUGCAAACGUUGUUCGGAAUUACUGGGCGUAAAGCGCGUGUAGGCGGCAGGGCAUGUCGGAUGUGAAAUCCCGUGGCUCAACCACGGAAGUGCACCCGAAACUGCCCAGCUUGAGUCUCGGAGAGGAAGGCGGAAUGCUUGGUGUAGAGGUGAAAUUCGUAGAUAUCAAGCGGAACACCGGUGGCGAAGGCGGCCUUCUGGACGAUGACUGACGCUGAGGUGCGAAAGCGUGGGGAGCAAACAGG
rnacentral:rRNA from 1 species